rnacentral:misc_RNA from 1 species
CGUUGCAAUCCCUUCUCCAGCCCUACUCUCCGAUCCAUAACUUGGCCAAGAAGACAGAAACCGAUCAAAGAUAAAAAAAAUUGCUUUGGCAGUCUUAGGUUAGGCACUGGCUAAAUCGUUCUCUCUCGCUCACUACUUUAUUGGCAACUCAUUCUCUCAAAAUAUCAGUGUGAUACAAAAUGUCUCGAAGAUAUGAUAGCCGCACAACAAUCUUCUCCCCCGAAGGUCGUCUAUACCAAGUAGAGUAUGCAAUGGAGGCCAUUGGAAAUGCAGGAACUGCAAUUGGGAUAUUG